UAAGCAGAUGGGAAAUUUUUUAAAUUUUCUAAUUUAAAAAAUGGAAAGUCUAAAAUGGAUACCUGUAGUAAUUCUAGAGCUAAUACAUGAAACUAAAAAAAAAGUGUGAAAUUUUAUGAAAAUAAAAUUUUUGCACGCUUUUAUUAGAGUAAAAAGCCAAUUAUAAUUUUCAAAAUAAAUAAAAAUUUUUUUUCAAUAAAUUUAAAUUUAAUUAUUUAAAUUUUUAUGGAAAAAAAUUAAUUUUUGAAAAAUUUUAAUAUUAAAAUGGUGUUGAAUCUGAAUAACUUGAACGGAUUUUAUUUUGAAAGAAUUUUAUUAAUUAUAUAAUAAAAUUUGAUUAGAAAUAGAAUUUAAAGCAGACCGCAAAUAAAAAACAUUGUUCUUAAUUUAAUGAAUUUUUAAUUUAAAAAAUUAAGAAAAAAAAACCAUGAAUGCGGCGUAUCUUUCAAUUGUCUGCCUUAUCAACUUUCGAUGGUAGAUUACAUGUCUACCAUGGUUGUAACGGGUAACGGGGAAUCAGGGUUCGAUUCCGGAGAGGGAGCCUGAGAAACGGCUACCACAUCUAAGGAAGGCAGCAGGCACGUAAAUUACCCACUCCCAGUACGGGGAGGUAGUGACGAUAAAUAACGAUCCGGAACUCUAAUGAGUUUCCGUAAUCGGAAUGAGUACAAUUUAAAUCCUUUAACAAUGAACUAAUAGAGGGCAAGUCUGGUGCCAGCAGCCGCGGUAAUUCCAGCUCUAUUAGCAUAUAUUAAAGUUGUUGCGUUUAAAAAGCUCGUAGUUGAAUCUGUAUUUCAUACUGUCAAUCGCUCGUAAUUUAAUUUAUUGAGUUUGAUUGACAUUUUUGUAUGAAAUAUAAAUACUGAUGAAUUUUAUAAAAAUUAUUUUAAAAAAAAAAUUAAUUAAUUUUUUUUUUUU
rnacentral:rRNA from 1 species